rnacentral:rRNA from 1 species
UACGGAAGGGGCAAGCGUUGUUCGGAAUCAUUGGGCGUAAAGGGCGCGUAGGUGGUCUUGUGUGUCUACCGUGAAAGCGUACGGCUCAACCGUAUUUAGUCGGUAGAAACUGCAGGACUUGAGGCUGGGAGGGGCUGGUGGAAUUCCCUGUGUAGCGGUGAAAUGCGUAGAGAUGGGGGAGAACACUCGUGGCGAAGGCGGCCAGCUAGACCAGUUCUGACACUGAGGCGCGAUAGCGUGGGGAGCAAACAGG